GUGCUUGCUCCGGCAGCACAUAUGCUAAAAUUGGAACGAUACAGAGAAGAUUAGCGUGGCCCCUGCACAAGGGUGACACGUGAAGCGAAAAUACAAGGUAGUCUUUA